rnacentral:rRNA from 1 species
UACGGAGGGUGCGAGCGUUGUUCGGAUUCAUUGGGCGUAAAGGGUGCGUAGGUGGCGCCGUAAGUCAGGUGUGAAAUCUCGGAGCUCAACUCCGAAACUGCACUUGAUACUGCGGUGCUCGAGUACUGGAGAGGAGAUUGGAAUUUACGGUGUAGCAGUGAAAUGCGUAGAUAUCGUAAGGAAGACCAGUGGCGAAGGCGAAUCUCUGGACAGUUACUGACACUGAGGCACGAAGGCCAGGGGAGCAAACGGG